GGGGAAUAUUGCACAAUGGGCGCAAGCCUGAUGCAGCGACGCCGCGUGCGGGAUGACGGCCUUCGGGUUGUAAACCGCUUUUGAUCGGGAGCAAGCCUUCGGGUGAGUGUACCUUUCGAAUAAGCACCGGCUAACUACGUGCCAGCAGCCGCGGUAAUACGUAGGGUGCAAGCGUUAUCCGGAAUUAUUGGGCGUAAAGGGCUCGUAGGCGGUUCGUCGCGUCCGGUGUGAAAGUCCAUCGCUUAACGGUGGAUCUGCGCCGGGUACGGGCGGGCUGGAGUGCGGUAGGGGAGACUGGAAUUCCCGGUGUAACGGUGGAAUGUGUAGAUAUCGGGAAGAACACCAAUGGCGAAGGCAGGUCUCUGGGCCGUUACUGACGCUGAGGAGCGAAAGCGUGGGGAGCGAACAGGAUUAGAUACCCUGGUAGUCCACGCCGUAAACGGUGGAUGCUGGAUGUGGGGCCCGUUCCACGGGUUCCGUGUCGGAGCUAACGCGUUAAGCAUCCCGCCUGGGGAGUACGGCCGCAAGGCUAAAACUCAAAGAAAUUGACGGGGGCCCGCACAAGCGGCGGAGCAUGCGGAUUAAUUCGAUGCAACGCGAAGAACCUUACCUGGGCUUGACAUGUUCCCGACAGCCGUAGAGAUGCGGCCUCCCUUCGGGGCGGGUUCACAGGUGGUGCAUGGUCGUCGUCAGCUCGUGUCGUGAGAUGUUGGGUUAAGUCCCGCAACGAGCGCAACCCUCGCCCUGUGUUGCCAGCACGUCAUGGUGGGAACUCACGGGGGACCGCCGGGGUCAACUCGGAGGAAGGUGGGGAUGACGUCAGAUCAUCAUGCCCCUUACGUCCAGGGCUUCACGCAUGCUACAAUGGCCGGUACAACGGGAUGCGACAUGGCGACAUGGAGCGGAUCCCUGAAAACCGGUCUCAGUUCGGAUUGGAGUCUGCAACCCGACUCCAUGAAGGCGGAGUCGCUAGUAAUCGCGGAUCAGCAACGCCGCGGUGAAUGCGUUCCCG
rnacentral:rRNA from 1 species